rnacentral:rRNA from 1 species
UGCGUAGGUGGCCCGUUAAGUGGUCGGUGAAAUCCCGCGGCUCAACUGCGGGGCUGCCGAUCAGACUGGCGAGCUAGAGCACGGUAGGGGCAGAUGGAAUUCCCGGUGUAGCGGUGGAAUGCGUAGAUAUCGGGAAGAAUACCAGUGGCGAAGGCGUUCUGCUGGGCCGUUGCUGACACUGAGGCGCGACAGCGUGGGGGAGACAAACGA